AUCCACCACUCUGGCUCUAACAGCCACGACCCUAACACUGGUAGGUGCUAACUGUCUAGCAGACUCUCUCCUAUAAAUGGGGAGAGAAAGGAAAAAACAAGGAUUAUGUUCUUCUUCUCAACUCGAGAAUCUUGUUCUCAUCAUUUUCUUCUAUUGUUCUUCCUCUUCGACUGCCACUGACUUAACUAUCAGAGGGUAUCCCAUCAAAGAACCCCCACCUUAUUCUCCG
rnacentral:lncRNA from 1 species